UGCCUCUACACGCUCGCAGCAGCUGCCAAGGCCGACAGGUCCCGGCGGGGCCGGCCCUCAGGUGCCCGCCUGCGCGGGGAGAGCUGCGCGCCCGCCCGGCGGAGCCCCCCGAGCUGACCAGGUUGGGUCUUCCGUUCUCUUUCCUUUGUUUGUUUACAGCUAUUGCUCAUAAACGUGUGAAAAACUGGAUCCCCGCGGAAGGGCUGCGGUUAGAUGACAGAACACCUCAUGCGUUUGAGAAACUCCAUCUCGUUUUGCUGAAGGACCGCCGGUAACGCGUUGCUGGCUGGGCAGGAAUCCCAAAAACUGCUUUGCGAAACAUGUUUGGCCAUCGGUGCUUUAAUGCCGAGGCUGUUUUGCAAAGUUUUUUUCUGGCCCCGCACAGCACCGUGGUCCUCCUGAGCUGUGAUGGGCGAGCAGCUACUUAAGCACCUUUGACGCCUUUAUCAGCAGGAUUCCAGAUUUCUUGUUGUUUUUUUUUUUUUAACUUUUCUUUCUACUUUAAUUAAAAUAAUUAUACAAUUUAGAUCAUGCAAGUAUUGGAUUUUCCUAAAUACAUUUAUAUUUAAAUCUAUGCUUAAUGCCUCCUAACUCUUUGAAGAGUAACCACCAGCCGAGUCUCUGAUGCACUGCCGCUGCAAGAAGGUACUUGUGCCCAGGAAUAUUUUCAAUAUUCAUCAGUAAUAUGUUUAUGAGGAGAGCUCCUUGCAAAAAUGAAAAUACAAAAGGAAAUACAUUUUAAGAAGAAAUCCUUUGCGUUUGCAGCCCCAGCCUUAGGUCAAUCCACUUUUGACUUUACAGGUCUAGUGGGGACUGUGCCGGUGCCCCGCAGAAGGCCGUGCCGGAGGGGAGCGUGGUUGGGCCCUGCUUCAGCCCAGGGGCCGCCAUUUCAGGACAGAAACACUCCUGCAGAACCUGCCCUAGGCCACGCUGCUGCUCUGGGGCUGCAUACCUCAGACACCAUCCCCAGCGAGCCUACACGGCAUGCUGGGAGGGAGCUCAAGAACAGUGGGUUACAUUGAGUCUGUGAGCAGAAGAAAAGCAACAGUAGCAGUUGGAAAUGUCAGAAAUGCCACAGUCACAACAGGGAGGCACGAGUAGGACAAAAACAAUGAAUCUCUGCUGAGCAUCAUGAGACUUCACAGGACUGAGAUCCUCAGAAGUGCAACAAGUGAUAGUUGUAGAGACUAAUUGUAAUGCUAAGAUUUAUAAUUAAAAAAACUCCAACAAUA